GACACGAGGUGCUGCAGUGGCUGUCGUCAGCUCGUGUCGUGAGAUGUUGGGUUAACGUCCCGUAACGAGCGCAACCCUUGUCCUUAGUUACCAGCACGUUAUGGUGGGCACUCUAAGGAGACUGCCGGUGACAAACCGGAGGAAGGUGGGGAUGACGUCAAGUCAUCAUGGCCCUUACGGCCUGGGCUACACACGUGCUACAAUGGUCGGUACAAAGGGUUGCCAAGCCGCGAGGUGGAGCUAAUCCCAUAAAACCGAUCGUAGUCCGGAUCGCAGUCUGCAACUCGACUGCGUGAAGUCGGAAUCGCUAGUAAUCGUGAAUCAGAAUGUCACGGUGAAUACGUUCCCGGGCCUU
rnacentral:rRNA from 1 species